rnacentral:misc_RNA from 1 species
GGAAAGUUGUUUUGUGUGGCAGAUUUUAAGGAUAUAAAACCGUAUAAGCUGGCGGAUCCCAUAAUUAGGAUGGAGGAGGAGCUACCACAUUGCAUGGCUGUGAUUGAACCGCAGUAUACAGUGUCGGGGAACGUUGUGGUGCUGUUGGGAGUAGGAGAUGGGAUUGUGACUGUGGACGAUGAUGAUGUGAGGCAGGUGGAAAGCGACGAUUUGCGGGGGCCAGUGCAGAAACUUGCAGUUUCACAUAAUGGGAGGAUUUUGGCGCGUUUUACGCAUGAUGGGUAUCUUGUGAUGUCAAAUAUGCAGUUUGAUACCAUCUUUGAGUAUCAAUGUGAGGUAAAUAUACAAUUUGUGUAUUGUAUUGUGCAUCAUGUGAUGUGGAAUUGGACUGGUGAAUGCUCGCGAUUUAGGUUUUCAG